AAUAGUUUAAUGCCACAUCAGUAUUUUCAUCCUGAAUUUCAGGAUUUUCGUCCUAAAAAAUUUAAAUCCAAAUAAAAAUCCUAAAAUUUAAGAUGAAACUUUUGAUGUGGCAUUAAACUAUU
rfam:Gossypium hirsutum cultivar TM-1 chromosome 8, whole genome shotgun sequence